UGAAGAGGUGAUGUGCUAGAUACCCCC
rnacentral:piRNA from 1 species